rnacentral:rRNA from 1 species
UACGGGGGGGGCAAGCGUUGUCCGGAUUUAUUGGGCGUAAAGAGCUCGUAGGCGGUUGGGCAAGUCACGUGUGAAAUCUCCACGCUCAACGUGGAGGCGCCACGUGAGACUGCCCUGACUCGAGUCCGGUAGGGGAGCGUGGAAUUCCCGGUGUAGCGGUGAAAUGCGCAGAGAUCGGGAGGAACACCCGUAGCGAAGGCGGCGCUCUGGGCCGGUACUGACGCUGAGACGCGAAAGCGUGGGGAGCGAACAGG